rnacentral:miRNA from 1 species
UACAUAUAGAUUUAUUGUUGAAAAUGAAAUUAAUGACUCAUAUAAAAUAUAGGUACAUCAGAAUAAUUCAUAUAAUUCAAUAUAGUUUCAUUUUAUUAUCAUAGUUAUGAGAAUAUUAUAGAGAGUAUUAUUUGUACCACAUAAUUGUUUAUACUAUUUUAUACAGUAUUUUUUUAAA